rnacentral:rRNA from 1 species
UACGUAGGUGGCAAGCGUUGUCCGGAUUUACUGGGUGUAAAGGGCGUGUAGCCGGGCUGACAAGUCAGAUGUGAAAUCCGGGGGCUCAACCCCCGAACUGCAUUUGAAACUGUUGGUCUUGAGUAUCGGAGAGGCAGGCGGAAUUCCUAGUGUAGCGGUGAAAUGCGUAGAUAUUAGGAGGAACACCAGUGGCGAAGGCGGCCUGCUGGACGACAACUGACAGUGAGGCGCGAAAGCGUGGGGAGCAAACAGG